GACGAACGCUGGCGGCGUGCCUAGUACAUGCAAGUAGAACGCUGAAGGAGGAGCUUGCUUCUCCGGAUGAGUUGCGAACGGGUGAGUAACGCGUAGGUAACCUGCCUGGUAGCGGGGGAUAACUACUGGAAACGAUAGCUAAUACCGCAUAAGAGUAGAUGUUGCAUGACAUUUGCUUAAAAGGUGCAAUUGCAUCACUACCAGAUGGACCUGCGUUGUAUUAGCUAGUUGGUGGGGUAACGGCUCACCAAGGCGACGAUACAUAGCCGACCUGAGAGGGUGAUCGGCCACACUGGGACUGAGACACGGCCCAGACUCCUACGGGAGGCAGCAGUAGGGAAUCUUCGGCAAUGGACGGAAGUCUGACCGAGCAACGCCGCGUGAGUGAAGAAGGUUUUCGGAUCGUAAAGCUCUGUUGUAAGAGAAGAACGAGUGUGAGAGUGGAAAGUUCACACG
rnacentral:rRNA from 1 species